UACGGGGGGAGCAAGCGUUGUUCGGAUUUACUGGGCGUAAAGGGCGCGUAGGCGGCCACCGCAAGUCGACUGUGAAAUCUCCGGGCUUAACCCGGAAAGGUCAGCCGAUACUGCGGGGCUAGAGUGCAGAAGGGGCAACUGGAAUUCUCGGUGUAGCGGUGAAAUGCGUAGAUAUCGGGAGGAACACCAGUGGCGAAGGCGACUACCUGGCCUGUUCUUGACGCUGAGGCGCGAAAGCUAGGGGAGCAAACGGG
rnacentral:rRNA from 1 species